rnacentral:tmRNA from 1 species
GGGGGCGAUCGGCUUCGACUGGUUCUUCGCGGGUGACGGUGGCGUGCCGUGGUUGAUCAGUUGGCCACGUAAAAAGCUGAUCACACAACAACUGCCAACAAGCAGUUCGCUUUGGCUGCCUAAUUACGGCAGCUCCGGCUUAGGAAUCCCCGCCUGAGGAGUCCGACGGCCGGUCACAAAAUCAGGCUGGCUGCCGGUCAACGGACGCUACGCCGGCAGUAAGACAAGUGGUGACCUGGCUGCGCUAGGCUUUGUCGGCCGUGCCGAAUGCAGCGAGACCCAAUCAACCGACUACGCACGUAGAAGCCUCAUCUCAGAGUUCACAGGACGCGGGUUCGAUUCCCGCCGCCUCCACUU